GUAAGCGACAGCGCGGUAUGAAUUUGAAGGUUGGAAACGAAUUUGUUCUGUUGUUUACAAACCACUGUUUUUUCAUUUGACUCCUAUGAUUGUAUAAGCCUAAUCACUUUGAUUAGGCUUUUUUUA
rnacentral:antisense_RNA from 1 species